CAAACUAGAGCUUGGUAUAAGCUUUUUAUUUACAUUAAAAAUUUAUUUGUGCAACUCAAAUUAGUUUGA
rnacentral:tRNA from 1 species